rnacentral:rRNA from 1 species
UUACGGGAGGCAGCAGUGGGGAAUAUUGGGCAAUGGGCGAAAGCCUGACCCAGCGACGCCGCGUGGGUGAUGAAGGCCUUCGGGUUGUAAAGCCCUGUCAUGCGGAAAGAACAGUUUCAUGGCUAAUAUCCAUGAGAUUUGACGGUACCGCAGGAGGAAGCACCGGCUAACUCCGUGCCAGCAGCCGCGGUAAUACGGAGGGUGCAAGCGUUGUUCGGAAUUAUUGGGCGUAAAGGGCGCGUAGGCGGUAAUGAAAGUCAGAUGUGAAAUACUUCGGCUCAACUGAAGAACUGCAUCUGAAACUUCAUAACUAGAGUACGGAAGAGGGAAAUGGAAUUCCCGGUGUAGAGGUGAAAUUCGUAGAUAUCGGGAGGAACACCAGUGGCGAAGGCGAUUUCCUGGUCUGGUACUGACGCUGAGGCGCGAAAGUGUGGGGAGCAAACAGGAUUAGAUACCCUGGUAGG